AAGAUGUCAGGAGAACCGCAGGGGCUGCUGGGCUCUGGACCACCUUGGACCACGAACUUUCAGUAGCCAGGAGCUGCCUUAACCUGUGUCAAGCCAGCCUGGCAAGAUCCUAUGUUCCAUGAUAAAUGUCCCGCCCAGUCCUGAGGAGGUUAACCAAGACCCAUUGAAAAUAUUUCUUUGAUAUUCCGUGGGAAGCUCAUUUGAUAACAUCUCUGCAAGGGAUUCCCACUACUGUCUACAUCUACCAGCCACCUGCUAGAGAAUUGAUCCCUCAGCCUGGGCUGGCCAAGGGCUCCUGGGACUUUCUGUACUGGCUCAGCACUGGCCAAUCUGCCUCUCUUCCUGCCACCUCUCAAUCACUGGCAUUCACGUACAUCUGUGCUGUCACAGGGGAAGCUGAGCCACCAGCAAGAAUUGCCUGGUCCUAUGCCUAAGGACUCAGGACUUCUCCCUUAGCCCCUGACCAGCUGGACUCCUGUCUGCUCUCCCCUUGAGGACCCCACCCCGGAUCAAGGUCAUCCCUUCAAUGGCAGAAAUGGCACCAUGACUUCAAGACCUGCGGAAGCUAAUGCUCUUGAG
ensembl:lincRNA Gm14344 predicted gene 14344